rnacentral:lncRNA from 1 species
GCACAAUAUAGAGAAAGCACAUUAAUUAAAACAUUAAUUUCACACUAACCUUGGCUUAACAGCUGACUCUUCAAUUGCGAAAUGGGGAAUUGAAGGAAACAAAGAAGACAGGACAGAAAAUUUUGGCCUAAAACUUCCAGAGAAAGGACACCAGGAUGCAUAGAAAAGCAAAGCAACAUAAUCAUGUGUAUUCCGGUGGAUCAUAUUUAGAGCCCAGGCCUAAAUCUUCCAGAGAAAGGACACCAGGAUGCAUAGAAAAGCAAAGCAACAUAAUCAUGUGUAUUCCGGUGGAUCAUAUUUAGUGCCCUCUGCAAUGACAGUUCAUCUCCC